ensembl:lncRNA
GCCAGACAGUAAAUACCAAGAAAUUUAGGGACGUUGAGGCCCAAGACGCGCCCAGAUCUGGGACAAACUCAUGGACUUUGGACGUGGCUUCUAAAGACCUUCCUCUCCUGGAGCCAGGCCCCUCGGCUCUCCACCCCUACGCAGUCGGGAGUCUGCUCACCGCUCGGAGGCCAGCUUGGAGGCCACUGGGAGCAGAGGGACCGAGGGCGACCACCCGCCCGCCCCACUCACCAUGUCUGCGCCCGGGGCCUCCAGUGGCUCGCUCGCCACACGGCCGUCGAGGCUCAGCUCCCUGGGCUCGCCCGUCACACCGACAUCGAGGCUCGGCUUCCCGGGGCUCACCCGUCACACCGCCAUCGAGGCUCGGCUCCCCGGGGCUCGCCCGUCACACCGCCAUCGUGGCUCGGCUCCCCGGGGCUCACCCAUCACACCGCCAUCGAGGCUCAGUCUCCAGGGCUCGCCCGUCACACCGCCAUCGAGGCUCAGUCUCCAGGGCUCGCUCGAGGCUCAGUUUCCAGGGCUCGCCCGUCACACCGCCAUCGAGGCUCGGCUCCCCCGGGCUCGCCCGUCACACCGCCGUCGAGGCUCAGCUCCCCGGGCUCGCCCUGCUGACGCGACAGCACCGCGACAGUGGUGGCGCCGCGGAGAUGGCGGAGAGGAACUUCCGCUCGCUGUCGCUGACUGGACGACCAACGCACGCAUCGAGCACUCAGUCUGCACCCGCGCUUCCCUGGGGCCCUCAAAACUGUGCCUGCGACGAGGUGUCACAUGGCGACGGAGGUGGAACCAUGCCGACCCCCUCUUCUGUGAGCGCAGGGCGGCGACUGGGGCGGCACCAGGAAGAAAGAUGGCGGAUGAGGGACUUCCGCCCGCCCGCCCGCCGGUGCGCAGGUCCCAACCGCUCGCAGUCCCCACAGCCCCACAGCCUUCACCAUUGCUCCCGAGGUUGGCGGGCCCACAGCUACAGAGGUAAGCGACCCCUGCUACCUCAGCGGUCACGACAAGGCAAUCCUGCCACUACCCGGGGCAAGGAAGAAGGAUGGCGGGUGAGGCACUUCCGCCCCGCCCCCGGCCAUCCUGAUUGGACAGCUCACGCGACCUUCUGCCUUUUGAUUAGUGCUCACGCAUUGAGUGACAGAUAAGCCGUGCGUUCUCCGUCUGACCGAGGAGGGCGAAAGGGCGCGCUCCAACCAUCCCCCUUCCCGGCUCGGCGUCUCUGCUUGGGGGAGACCACCCAGCUGCCUGGAGAAGAUGCCUUUCCUGCAGAGUUUGCUCCCAGCUGCUCUCUCGAGACAAAUCCGGCGUCCGUCUCUACUCAGUGCACUUUUCUGGUUGCUGAUUCCCGGAGAUGAAGGGGCUCAGGAAAUCCCAGGCCUAGUGUCCCAUAGAGACAGUCCUUUCCUUCCGAGAACAAAUGGAUUUUCGGGGGAAGUGGGAGGUGUUUGCCACCUGCCCGAGGGGUUUGGGUUUUGUUUUGUUUUGUUUUGUUUUGUUUAGAGAUCUCUAUUCGGUGAAGCCAGAAACUCACUCACUCACUCUCUGUCUCUGUCUGUCUGUCUGUCUGUCUGUCUGUCUCUG